AACGAACGCUGGCGGCGUGCCUAACACAUGCAAGUCGAGCGGGAAAGUCCGCAAGGAUGAGUACAGCGGCGCACGGGUGCGUAACACGUGGGUAAUCUACCCUGAAGCUCGGGAUAACUCGCCGAAAGGCGUGCGAAUACCGGAUAAGACCACGGGAGCCUCGGCUCCUGCGGGAAAAGGUGGCCUCUGCAUGCAAGCUAUCACUUCAGGAUGAGCCCGCGGCCCAUCAGCUCGUUGGCGGGGUAACGGCCCACCAAGGCUACGACGGGUAGCUGGUCUGAGAGGACGAUCAGCCACACUGGAACUGAGACACGGUCCAGACUCCUACGGGAGGCAGCAGUGGGGAAUCUUGCGCAAUGGGCGAAAGCCUGACGCAGCAACGCCGCGUGUGUGAUGAAGGUCUUCGGAUCGUAAAGCACUGUCGGGAGGGACGAAUAAGGGCCGGGUGAACAAUCCGGUUCGAUGACGGUACCUCCAAAGGAAGCACCGGCUAACUCUGUGCCAGCAGCCGCGGUAAAAC
rnacentral:rRNA from 1 species